GUCGGGCUCACUGCAACCCCUGUGACAUACCUAUACGUUGCCUCGGCGGAUCAGCCCGCGCCCCGUAAAACGGGACGGCCCGCCCGAGGACCCCUAAACUCUGUUUUUAGUGGAACUUCUGAGUAAAACAAACAAAUAAAUCAAAACUUUCAACAACGGAUCUCUUGGUUCUGGCAUCGAUGAAGAACGCAGCAAAAUGCGAUAAGUAAUGUGAAUUGCAGAAUUCAGUGAAUCAUCGAAUCUUUGAACGCACAUUGCGCCCGCCAGUAUUCUGGCGGGCAUGCCUGUUCGAGCGUCAUUUCAACCCUCAAGCUCAGCUUGGUGUUGGGACUCGCGGUAACCCGCGUUCCCCAAAUCGAUUGGCGGUCACGUCGAGCUUCCAUAGCGUAGUAAUCAUACACCUCGUUACUGGUAAUCGUCGCGGCCACGCCGUUAAACCCCAACUUCUGAAUGUUGACCUCGGAUCAGGUAGGAAUACCCGCUGAACUUAAGCAUAUCAAUAAGCGGAGGA
rnacentral:rRNA from 1 species